UACAGAGGGUGCAAGCGUUAAUCGGAAUUACUGGGCGUAAGCGUGCGUAGACGGUUCGCUGUGUCCGAUGUGAAAGCCCCGGGCUCAACCUGGGAAUUGCAUUCGAGACUGCGUGGCUAGGGUGCGGAAGAGGGAAGCGGAAUUUCCGGUGUAGCGGUGAAAUGCGUAGAUAUCGGAAGGAACACCAGUGGCGAAAGCGGCUUCCUG
rnacentral:rRNA from 1 species